rnacentral:rRNA from 1 species
ACUGGGAUAACUAUCGGAAACGAUAGCUAAGACCGGAUAGCUGGUUCUCUCGCAUGAGAGGAUCAUGAAACACGGAGUAAUCUGUGGCUUACAGAUGGGCCUGCGGCGCAUUAGCUAGUUGGUAGGGUAACGGCCUACCAAGGCGACGAUGCGUAGCCGACCUGAGAGGGUGAUCGGCCACACUGGGACUGAGACACGGCCCAGACUCCUACGGGAGGCAGCAGUAGGGAAUCUUCCGCAAUGGACGCAAGUCUGACGGAGCAACGCCGCGUGAGUGAUGAAGGUUUUCGGAUCGUAAAGCUCUGUUGCCAGGGAAGAACGCCUGGGAGAGUAACUGCUCCUAAGGUGACGGUACCUGAGAAGAAAGCCCCGGCUAACUACGUGCCAGCAGCCGCGGUAAUACGUAGGGGGCAAGCGUUGUCCGGAAUUAUUGGGCGUAAAGCGCGCGCAGGCGGUCAUUUAAGUUUGGUGUUUAAGCCCGGGGCUCAACCCCGGAUCGCACUGAAAACUGGGUGACUUGAGUGCGGGAGAGGAAAGUGGAAUUCCACGUGUAGCGGUGAAAUGCGUAGAGAUG